UCUAGACCAAGAGUAGCAAAGGGUGAUCCAGUCUAACUCUCGAUUUCUUUUUUAUUUGAGUUAAUAUGUGUGUGCGUGUGGUGGAUAUAUUUGGCAUAUCUAGGUCCAGUUUGUCGUUCAGUUGUUUUUAUCAUACUCAUGGAUAACUGGAAAAAUAAAUGAUGUUGUAAUGUCACACAAAUAUUUUUCCAGCAGCUACUGGACCACGGAGUUAAGCAGGAAAUGUUACAGCAAUCUAAAAAUUAGACUUUGGUGUCAGUUUGGAAAAGUUUUUUUUCCUACUGUGGAGCUGCCAGUUCACACUGGUGUUCAAAGUUCACACAGAGAGGAAACUGACCAGAAAAGAAGUGGAGUAACUAAUUGCUCCACCCACAGUGGUAGAAAACAAACCACAAUACAGUAUCAGUAUUAGUUUUGUCCUAAUUCCAUACUACAUACUAACUAUGUAUGUAGUGUUCACACUGGAAGAAAUACUGUGUAUGUGUAUGUGUAUAUAUAUAUAUAUAUAUAUAUAUAUAUAUAUAUAUAUAUAUACAUACGGUAUAUAUUAAGUACAUACUGUAAACCUGUUACAACUAACAUGUCCACACAUACACACUUUUUAAGAAUUUUUGGACAUUUUAGGUCUUUAUAUCAAUAGGACAGCUGAAGACAUGAAAGGGGAGCCUUUUUGCUGGGGCUUGUAAAAACCUAUUUUUUGGAAAAGUAGGAAAUCCAUUUAUAACUGAAGUGCAGUAGAAGUAGGAGACGAGGCAGAUUGAGUAAAUCUUGUCAGCUUUGCAAACGGUGUUAAAUACUGAGACUCUGCUACACUCCCCAAAAAAAAAAAAAAAACUGACCGUCCUGGAGGGUGGAUUUUUCCUUCAAGUGGUCCUACUGGCCAAAACCUGCCCUGCUGCCUCACUGACCUCUGCUUCCAAUUUGAAGAAUGAAAUUCUCCAGUAUUCAGAUUUCUAGACUUAAAUCGUCAAAACAUCUAUCAGUCACAAAGCUCUGUUGAUGCCUGAAGCUGUACUCUGCUGUGAACUGGAUAUGUUGGCUGAUGCACACACACUAUUUGUUAUAUGCAACUUGACUGAUACACAUGACUGGCAUCAACAUCAGAUGGUUUUUAUGAAAUGUUGAUCUAUUGCUGUGCUUUUACAUAGCAAUCUGAAACAUGAGGGAAAGAUUUUAAGCUUUUCAGCAGCUGAUUGGCUAUGAGGUACUUGUGGAGGAUUCCUUGAGAGACACUGACCCCUCACGAGUACUAGGAGAAAGACUUGUUUAACCACAGUGACAAACAUAACAGCGCCAGACACAAGCUGUAGACAAGAGAGUAGAGCUAUGCAAUGUGACAACCAGUUUCUCCAUCCAUUCUGUAGCUUUUCAUGCUGGUCUCUUCAGAUUCAGGCUUCAGCAUGAUUGUGACCAAAUGUUUCAUAGAAAAUGCUAUAAAAAAAAAAUGCAAAGAAAAAAACUCUUAAAAUGCAAAAAGGCACAAAUUGUAAACAAGAAAUUGAAUAUGUAGGAUUACAGCAACUUUAUACAUAUAUUUGCAUGCGUAAAAUGUAUCCAGUUUGACAAUAUCAAAUGGAAAUACCACGGCUCAAAAUGGGAGGGGGGUGUGUCCUGUUAGUGUGAUUCUUUUUCUUAAAAACAGGAACACAUUCUGCAGAUACCUUCAUUAUUCUAAACGUUUUGUCACCCUAUGGCAAAAAGUACCUGUACCUUCUUGAACAAUGUGGCCUCUGUAUUGAGUCAAAGGAAAAGUACCUAUCCCUAAGUCUGGACCAGUAGGUCCACCAAAUAGGAGGGUUCCAAAAUUUCUGCAUACCAUUUGCAGUGUAGAUGUGGCUUUUUCUUGAGAAAAUACAAAUGAUUGCAUGUUCUAACAAUGUAUGUGCAUGUAGAAAACUUAGUACUUUUAGAUACCAUGUGUUAUUUUGUUGUUGAUUUUUAAUAUUUGAUAUAAAGUGUGGGGUUGAAAGGACAAAUUUCUAACAGUAUAAGACAUUGUUGACAGUUCCGCCGUGUGCCGCAGAGCUGGAACAUUCCUUUUUUGGGGGUUUUGGGUUUCAGUGAAAUGCUUGUUUUCCUGAUUUAGUUUCUUGGCAAGACUUUGAAUUCAGCAGUUGUUUUUACAUUAAACAUUUUGUAUGAAGCAAAGUUCCUUGAAAUAAAAAAGAAUGAAAUGAAA